AGGUAAGCGAUAUACGAGCCUGGCUCGCGAACACAUGACAAGGUUGCUCCAUGUUGAUCCUGGCGGACGGGUGAGUAACACGUGGGUAACCUGCCUGUAAGACUGGGAUAACUCCGGGAAACCGGGGCUAAUACCGGAUGGUUGUUUGAACCGCAUGGUUCAGACAUAAAAGGUGGCUUCGGCUACCACUUACAGAUGGACCCGCGGCGCAUUAGCUAGUUGGUGAGGUAACGGCUCACCAAGGCGACGAUGCGUAGCCGACCUGAGAGGGUGAUCGGCCACACUGGGACUGAGACACGGCCCAGACUCCUACGGGAGGCAGCAGUAGGGAAUCUUCCGCAAUGGACGAAAGUCUGACGGAGCAACGCCGCGUGAGUGAUGAAGGUUUUCGGAUCGUAAAGCUCUGUUGUUAGGGAAGAACAAGUGCCGUUCAAAUAGGGCGGCACCUUGACGGUACCUAACCAGAAAGCCACGGCUAACUACGUGCCAGCAGCCGCGGUAAUACGUAGGUGGCAAGCGUUGUCCGGAAUUAUUGGGCGUAAAGGGCUCGCAGGCGGUUUCUUAAGUCUGAUGUGAAAGCCCCCGGCUCAACCGGGGAGGGUCAUUGGAAACUGGGGAACUUGAGUGCAGAAGAGGAGAGUGGAAUUCCACGUGUAGCGGUGAAAUGCGUAGAGAUGUGGAGGAACACCAGUGGCGAAGGCGACUCUCUGGUCUGUAACUGACGCUGAGGAGCGAAAGCGUGGGGAGCGAACAGGAUUAGAUACCCUGGUAGUCCACGCCGUAAACGAUGAGUGCUAAGUGUUAGGGGGUUUCCGCCCCUUAGUGCUGCAGCUAACGCAUUAAGCACUCCGCCUGGGGAGUACGGUCGCAAGACUGAAACUCAAAGGAAUUGACGGGGGCCCGCACAAGCGGUGGAGCAUGUGGUUAAUUCGAAGCACGCGAAGAACCUUACCAGGUCUUGACUCCUCUGACAUCCUAGAGAUAGGACGUCCCUUCGGGGCAAAUGACAGGGGUGCUGUUGUCUCACUCGGGCCGGAAAUGUGGGUAA
rnacentral:rRNA from 1 species